CAGCUUAUUGGGCCAAAUACACUACCACCUACUUAAGUUAAUUCUGGCCCAAAUUAAAUAAGAGAAAAAGAGGAGAAUGGGCAGCCAAGGCCCAAUAGUUUUUAAUCCACAAAGGCCUAAUAUAAUGGGCAAGUAGGUGCAUCACCUACUUGAUAAAUUAUGUCCCAAAAAUGACCAAGAAAUUCGGCCAAGAGCAUCUCUUUUAGAAGGGAUUAAAACCAUCCCUUAUAGCUCAUUUUAACUAGCAAAAAAAAAAAUAGCUUUCAAGAUUUUUUCUCUUGUUCUCUCUUACCUAUGCAGCAGCCCUAAAAUUCUAUUAGGGUUCUUUGGAAACCUUCCUUCCAAGUUAAAGGUAAGUGAACAAAUCAUGAGCACAUCUUAAGAAUACUAUAAGGAUUAUGUUCUUCAUGAUUAAACUAGAAGAUAUCCCUUUUUAAGUUUGGCAGUCCCUUUAUCCUUGAUUAUUAAGAGAUUUUUCUCUUCACUUUUGGUUUGUGAGUAAAGGGAUCAAGCUAUUGAUACAUUAAGGGAAUAAACUACCACCAAAACUAAGGUAUGGCUACUGUCUAUUUUUUCCCUUUUACUAUAAACGUGUGUUGGUUGAGGAUUGUGUAUAUGUUGUUGUUAAGAACUCAAGGGAUGGUGACUUCAAUUUCUGGUUGCCAUAUUAAGGGGUAUUUGGGGCUGUUUUGGAUCUGUUUUAUGUAUGUAUGUUGGGGGCUUCUUGGUUGACGUUGGGGGAAUGGUGUGAAUAAUUUCCAUUGAAGGUAGAAGAAGAGUAUAAUGGUACACCACCAAAUUGAAUGUUGCAUAAGUUUCCUGCCCACAUCACUUGAUAUACUAUUUUGAGAGUACAAUAAUGAUGAAACUAUUAAGGGGAUCUUAUAAAAAGUUACAUCACGUAUGAAUGUAAUUGGCGAAGAACGAGGUUGAGAGAACACCCUUGGAUUAGUUAAUUGUGGAUUACUGCGCGGUUACUGUUUUAGUAUGUUUAAAUGGCGUGAAUAUGUUAAUUAGCUACUAAUACUAGUUUUAUGCUAUUGUAGAUUAGUAAUAUAAAAGGAAAGACGUUAAAUGAAAGUGUGAUCAGUUGUGCAUCAAGGUACAGGUACUCUAGCUAGUAGACCACCCCAAUAGGAGCACAGGACAUCCAGCUACUAUUGGUGAUCUCCAAGUUGAUACGGAGCUUUCCGAGUCUGUUAUAUAUUUUGGUAUUGUGUAGUAGUUAUGAGAAAGGCUUGCACUUCAGCUCAUACAACUCACUAGUAGGAGCGUAGGCUUUUUAGGGACUAUUGGUGAUACGGGACAAAUGGCCAUCAUAUCUUUUGAUGACAUCUUUAGAGGCCAACACAUAGAGGCUCAAGACUUGGUCACCUCGAGAAUACAAGAACAUGCACGGAGGACCCAUUUUGAG